CUCUUUCUCUCCUUUUCCAUUUGUCCCUCUCUAUCCGCCGCUUGAUCGUGUUCUCCUUUGUUUUCUUUAAUGAUGAGUUCCGGUUGCUCCUUCUUUGGAUAAUCAAUAAUAUUCACGUUAUGGAGAUGAAAAAUGCUGACUACUUCAGUUUUCUAAGGAUGUGCUAAUGAGUGUAUUUUGAAGUGCCAUGUGUGGAGAGGUCUUACUUGAAAGCAUGCAGCUCUUGGUAGGUGAAGAGCUUUGGGAAGAAGACUUGGAGUUAGAAGAUCGUUCAAAAGAAGUUGAAGUGUGUCCUCAUUUGACUCUAUGCCAUAUAUGUCUUUAUGUUUUUCAUUCGAAGUAUUGUAAUAGACUAAGUAUUUCUAUAUUCGUAUUUUGAAGUAUGGGCCGUGUACCAAGUAUUCUUGUGUCUUAACAUGAUUAG